rnacentral:rRNA from 1 species
GAUGAACGCUAGCGGCAGGCUUAAUACAUGCAAGUCGAGGGGUAGCAAGAUUGUAGCAAUACAAUUGUUGACGACCGGCAAACGGGUGCGGAACACGUACACAACCUUCCUACAAGUGGGGAAUAGCCCAGAGAAAUUUGGAUUAAUACCCCGUAACAUAGCGAUGUGGCAUCACAUUGCUAUUAUAGCUUCGGCGCUUGUUGAUGGGUGUGCGGCUGAUUAGAUAGUUGGCGGGGUAACGGCCCACCAAGUCUACGAUCAGUAGCUGAUGUGAGAGCAUGAUCAGCCACACGGGCACUGAGACACGGGCCCGACUCCUACGGGAGGCAGCAGUAGGGAAUAUUGGACAAUGGACGCAAGUCUGAUCCAGCCAUGCCGCGUGAAGGAUUAAGGUCCUCUGGAUUGUAAACUUCUUUUAUAAGGGACGAAAAAAGGUCUUUCUAGAUCGUCUGACGGUACCUUAUGAACAAGCACCGGCUAACUCCGUGCCAGCCGCCGCCGUAACAC